rnacentral:rRNA from 1 species
CAGAGGGUGCGAGCGUUAAUCGGAAUUACUGGGCGUAAAGCGCGCGUAGGCGGCUUUGCAAGCCGGAUGUGAAAUCCCCGGGCUUAACCUGGGAACUGCAUUCGGGACUGCAUUGCUAGAGUAUGGGAGAGGGAAGUGGAAUUUCAGGUGUAGCGGUGAAAUGCGUAGAUAUCUGAAGGAACAUCAGUGGCGAAAGCGACUUCCUGGACCAAUACUGACGCUCAUGUGCGAAAGCGUGGGGAGCAAACAGG